UACUCGAGUGGCGAACGUGUGAGUAACACGUGGGUGAUCUGCCCUGCACUUCGGGAUAAGCCUGGGAAACUGGGUCUAAUACCGGAUAGGAGCCAUUUUUAGUGUGAUGGUUGGAAAGUUUUUUCGGUGUAGGAUGAGCUCGCGGCCUAUCAGCUUGUUGGUGGGGUAAUGGCCUACCAAGGCGGCGACGGGUAGCCGGCCUGAGAGGGUGGACGGCCACAUUGGGACUGAGAUACGGCCCAG
rnacentral:rRNA from 1 species